rnacentral:rRNA from 1 species
CGCUCCGGCGCCAGAGGCUGUGGCUGCGGCCGAUUAGGUAGACGGUGGGGUAACGGCCCACCGUGCCCAUAAUCGGUACGGGUUGUGAGAGCAAGAGCCCGGAGACGGUAUCUGAGACAAGAUACCGGGCCCUACGGGGCGCAGCAGGCGCGAAACCUUUACACUGCACGCGAGUGCGAUAAGGGGACUCCAGGUGCGAGGGCAUAUAGUCCUCGCUUUUCUCGACCGUAAGGUGGUCGGGGAAUAAGUGCUGGGCAAGACCGGUGCCAGCCGCCGCGGUAAUACCGGCAGCACGAGUGAUGACCGCUAUUAUUGGGCCUAAAGCGUCCGUAGCUACUUUCC